GUAUACCUCACCAGAACUUUCUUCACAGGGAGGCUGUUUUGGUCAAUGGCAAGAGAAAAAAAGAAGCAGAAACAACGUCAAGAUAAAAACAUAACCUAAGCAAAACCUUACGAGUCAUUAUUGAAGGAAAGUACAUUCUGUGUUUCUUCAUGUAGUUAAUAGUUCUGACCAAUAAGAGUAGCAAAUUCAAGAAGUUGCUCGUCAUGCUCGAACACAGACAUUUCUUCUUCAUUCAAGUUAACAGCUGCUUCAAUUCCUCCAUCAUAUGUCCUCAUCAAGAUCAUAGCCUUGUUAAUUGGACCCUUUGCAAUGCUUGCUCUAAUUGGCUGCCCAAAUCCAAAAUCUAAAUCUUGUAUUAUUGGGAACUUACAUAUGCUACUCGAAAGGUACACAUCACAUUUCCUUUUAUGGAAAGUCUCCUUCCCUGUUCUAUAUGCAUCUAGAAUCACCAUAGCCGUUUCAUUUUCUUCAAGAUUAUUUCUUGUGGCGAGGUUGUUUUUUGACUUCCUUAUAUCGGCUACUAGUUUUGGUAACUUGAGUUCUUCCUCGUUGUUGUAUACCGGCGAGUAGAAUCUGGUAAUGAUAUUUCCUAUGGAGUUUGGUGGUAACCGUGGUGAAAUCAUUUCUCGGAUAUUGGAGUACUGGACCAACCGAGAUCGCUUGAACAAACCAGAAUUAACGUUGGUGACAGAAAAUGCUGCACAUUUGUAGAGAAGUGCAUUCACAGCCUCAUUGGUCGUUACGUUUUGCACGCCAAUUGCGGAUUUUAGUGCACUUAGCUUUGUGCUAGAAAAAAUAAACCUCUUUUGGACACAUUUGUCCAUGUCUGAUCCAAUAACAGGGUAAACCAAUGGACCAAUUGGCGAUGGUAGAAUGGAGUCCUCAACAAAAUAAGGAGAUGGUCUAAUUGUAUUUGAACUUCGAGUUAAUGAAGCCCAAUCCCUCAAGAAACAAUAGACACUGCUUCCGUCUCCUAUUUUGUGUGAUAGGCAGACACUGAGUGCUAUUCCUCCGCAAUCAAAAUGACUUAAUUGAGCUACAGUUAAGGCCCCAUCCAUGCUACUACCCCAAGGUAGGCCUUGAGGAAAUGUCAAAUCUUUAACAUUUGAAUCAGGGUGAUUAACAACUUUGUCCAUUGAAGAAUUGAUUUGAACUUCCAAGAACUCAGCCCCAUGGUCAUCACACUCUAUAGCGGCAUUGUCUUUUAGACUUCCAGCCCAUGGAUAGUAACAACUUAAGGUUUUUGACAGAGAGUUUGAUAGAAGUUUCGAUAGUUGUUUAGGCCCAUUUGGAAUAGCAUUUACUUGGUUUUGGUGGUAGAAAAAAACAAGGGGCAUAUAAAGGUGAGUUACGCCUUGAUCUAUGAGGGAAAUCUUAGAGUGGAUGGGGUGGGAGUGAAAGGUUUAAUGAUUUUCUUGGAAAUUAUUGAUAGCAUACUUGAUGUUAUUAAUAUAAAAUCUCACCAAUAUAAAAUCCUUUCUUGUUAGUCUUUCACAAGUUAGCUAGCUAUAUAUAUACACAUGAUGAAAACGAGACCUUUUAAUGCUAAAAGGAAAUUACAAACAGUGACCAUCUUUUGCUGAUUCUACCCUAUGGAAGUCUGACAUAAAUAACAAUUAUAAUAUAUCAGUGGACGUGACAAGCUUAAUUAAGUGUCCUUUAGUUAACUUCUCCCUCCGGUCCUAAAAAUUAGUUAUAUAUAUAGUAAUUAACAAUAAAGGAGACACAUGGAUGUUAAUUAAUAAGUAGGGAAGAAGGGAAAUUAAAAUGAUCCCAUGCAUCGCCGCAAUAAGUAAAUGCAAAAGAGUGUAAAGUUAGGUGCAUAUAUCAUGAAUUACUUCCACGAGGUUUUGUUGGAAAAUAUAUUUUAUGAACACAAAAUUUAUGAAAAAAAAUACAAGAUAAAGGCUUGACAAUAUGAACAUCGAAGACGGAAUUUGAAGCUUGAAAUACGUGCCAAACGCUUUCCAAAAAAUGAUAUUUGCUUCCUCUUCUUAGCGAGAUUGUUAUGGAAUUAUAAGCAAAUAGUUUUAGUGGAUAUGAUAAGGUUAUUGAAUUUUGUACUAAACAAUUAUUGAAAAAAUUCUUCUUGAAAGCAAGAAUUACAAAAGAAUUUAUAAAAGAUUAUAAAAAAUAAUCAACUGAUUAUUGCCUCUCAAUACUGUUUCAUUUUAGUAGGCCAAAAUCGGUGACGGGCUACGUCAGUUAAUGUUGAGAGACGCCAUACCCAACCAAAAUUUAAAAUAAAAAGAAUUUUUCAACUGUUUCAUAUUUUUAUCACGAAAAUUAAUUUUCACAAAAAAUCGACAGAAAGAAUACAAAGAUGAGAAAAAACAGAGAAUAAGGCUAUCUUUAUUCGGUUGUGAAAUAACACAUCAAAAUAAUUCGAUUUGAUUUUUUUUAACUUCGCUUCAAUUUGAUUUUGUGUUUCUAAAUUGAUUUUUCCAUGCAAGUGAGAAACAAGACAAACAAAAUAUGAAGGUUGCAAACUUAGCAUAUUAUAUAUAUAGUUCUUAAAUUAAUAAAAGUUUGGUUAUUCGAUGCACCGAAUAAUCAUGAUCCUUAAAUCGAAGAACGAUUAUCCGGCUCCUCUCCAUUUUCUCGAUCGAUUAAUAAAGUUGAAAUCGAAUUGAAGAAUCAUGAGCAAAAGAAUUGAAGGACUGAAAAAUAUUUUUUUGAAGUCAUUCCAUGUCUCCCUUUUUAUUGUCGUGAUGUGGAAAUAAUAUAUGUUUUGAAAUGACAUUAAAAAUAGAGCUUUUAUAUUAACUACUAAAACUGUUAUAUUAGCUACUAAAUAUUCAUUUCUGUAUCUUAUUGCCAAAUUUAUAAUUGAUAAAUUUGGAGGGAAUAAGAGAAAGUUGAGAGAAAUAAUAGGAAGGGAAUAUUGAGAAAAUGAUAGAGAUAAAGCAGCUUAUUUUUAAUUGAUACUGUAUAUUUAUAUUAACCAUAGUUAGAGGUUUCACUUAGAAUAAAUUAAAUCUUAGCCAUUUAAUUUAAUUAGGUUAUGUGUCAUUAAUCAAGAUGAGGACUUGGAGAAAAUGGAAAGGAGCCAAAACCGCGUAAUAAUAUCUUGUCUAAUCUUGUUCCCUAUAAUACUUGUUCAACCUACAUCAACCUCUCCUUUAACAAUUUAUAGAACCUCUCACACCUGUCCGCUAUUUAUUUGUUGCCAUAUUAUGUUAUUUUCCUUGGAUUUGUUUCUCUCUUCUUGAUUCACAAAUUGAAAGGGAAAGUUUAGACUUGGGUAUUUUCCGUUGCUACUCGUUUGGGCAUUUAAAUUGUGCUACCUUGUGCCUUGCCUCUUUCCCAACACUAUUAAAGCAAAACUAAAUCAUAUUAUUCUUUUACGAUAAGAAGAAAAUUAGUAGCCACAUUAGGAAUACAAAGGGAGGGAAGACUAGUUCCAGUUCGAGGAGAAAUAAACAAGACAAGGAAAUGGAAAUUCAGAAAUGUUAUUCAAUCUGCAUGGGAAUUAAAGUCAAUUAAAUAUGGAGUAUGAAUUUGUCCCAUUAUUAAUCAUCAUCAUGCAUACAGCAUACUGUUAUUGUUGUUCAUAGUUAACAGGAGCAGCAAAUUGAAGAAGGUGCUCAUCAUGCUCGAACACAGACAUUUCUUCUUCAUUCAAGUUAACUAAUGCUUCAAUUCCUCCAUCAUUUGUCCUCAUCAAGAACAUAGCCUUGUUAAAUGGACCCUUUGCCAUGCUUGCUCUAAUUGGCUUCCCAAAUCCAAAAUCUAAAUCUUGUAAUAAUGGGAACUUACAUAAGCUACUUGAAGAGUACACAUCACAUUUCCUUUUAUGGAAUAUCGACUCCCCUGUUCUAUAUGCAUCUAGCAUCUCUAUAGCCAACUCAUUUUCUUCAACAUUCUUCCUUGUGGAGAGGUUGUUUUUAGACUUCUUUAUAUCAGCUACUAAUUUUGAUAACUUGAGUUCUUCCUUCUUGUCGUAUAUCGGUGAGGAGAAUAUGCUAAAGAUAUUUCCUAUAGGGUUUGGUGGUAGCUGGGGUGAAAUCAUUUCUCGUAAAUCUGACAACUGGAUCAACUGUGAUCGCUUGAACGAACCUGAAUUAACUGCGAUGGCUGAAAAUGCAGCACAUUUGUAGAGAAGUGCACUCACAGCCUCGCUGCUCGUUACAUUUUGCACGCCAAUUGAGGAUUUUAGUGCACUUAGUUUUGUGCUAGAAAAAAUAAACCUCUUUUGGACACAUUUGUCCAUGUCUGAUCCCGUAAUGGGGGAAACCAAUGGACCAAUUGGCGAUGAUAAAAUAGAGUCCUCAACGAAAUAAGGAGAUGGUCUAAUUGUAUUUGAACUUCGAGUUAACGCAGCCCAAUCCCUCAAGAAACAAUGGGCACUGCUUCCGUCUCCUAUUUUGUGUGAUAGGCACACACUGAGUGC
rnacentral:lncRNA from 1 species